rnacentral:rRNA from 1 species
CCUUCUUGGUCAUUUAGAGGAAGUAAAAGUCGUAACAAGGUU